AUACGGAGGAUCCGAGCGUUAUCCGGAUUUAUUGGGUUUAAAGGGUGCGCAGGCGGAAGAUUAAGUCGGCGGUGAAAUUUUGCAGCUCAACUGUAAAAGUGCCUUCGAAACUGGUUUCCUUGAGUGUAGAUGAAGUAGGCGGAAUUUGUGGGGUCGCGGUUGAAUGCAUAGAUAUCACGAGGAACUCCGAUUGCGCAGGCAGCUUACUAAACUACUACUGACGCUCAGGCACGAAGGCGUGGGGAUCAAACAGGAUUAGAUACCCUGGUAGUCCACGCAGUAAACGAUGAUUACUAGCUGUUUGCGAUACAAUGUAAGCGGCUGAGCGAAAGCGUUAAGUAAUCCACCUGGGGAGUACGUUCGCAAGAAUGAAACUCAAAUGAAUUGACGGGG
rnacentral:rRNA from 1 species